AAGGCAAGGGAAGGAGUGAUGGAGUUCCUAUUGAUGAAUCAUCCAUUGGACUGCCCAAUUUGUGAUCAGGGUGGAGAGUGUGAUCUUGAGGACCAGUCUAUGGCUUUUGGUUCUGAUCGAGGUUGUUUUACUGAAAUGAAGAGAUCGGUUGUUGAUAAGAACCUAGGCCCAUUGGUCAAAACUGUUAUGACUCGAUGUAUUCAGUGUACAAGGUGUGUAAGGUUUGCAACUGAGUAGUUGGUGUUCAGGAUCUUGGCAUGCUGCGUCGUGGCAGUGGAGAAGAGAUUGGAACUUAUGUAGAGAAACUAAUGACAAGUGAACUUUUAGGGAAUGUGAUAGAUAUUUGUCCUGUAGGAGCCCUCACUUCAAAACCUUUUGCCUUUAAAGCUUGAAACUGGGAGUUGAAGGGAACAGAGAGCAUUGACAUCACUGAUGCUGUUGGCUCAAACAUCCGAAUUGACAGUAGAGGUCCAGAGGUCAUGCGCAUUCUGCCACGAUUGAAUGAGGACGUCAAUGAAGAAUGGAUAUCAGAUAAGACACGUUUCUUUUAUGAUGGUCUGAAGAGGCAGAGGCUAAAUGACCCCGUGAUUCAUGGUGCAGAUGGGCGCUUCAAGACUUUAAGCUGACGGGAUGCACUUGCUGUGGUCGCGAGGUCAUGCACCAAGCUAAACCAGAGGAAAUUGUUGGGGUUGCUGGUAAGUUGUCUGAUGCAGAAUCCAUGAUGGCACUAAAAGAUUUUUUGAACAAGAUGGGGUCAAAUAAUAUUUGGUGCGAAGGAAAUGGCCCCCCAAACCCAAAUGCUGACCUGCGUUCUGGAUAUAUCAUGAACACUACCAUCAGUGGGUUGGAGAGA